UGACAUUUCGUGUUUCGUUGAUCGUUUAAUGCAAUAAAACUAUUUCCUUCAAAGAAGAUCGAGAUUGUUCAUGACUGCUACAUGGAUAGCUACUUCCUGCUAAUAGUAACUGUUAUUUCUUUGCAGAUAAAAGAUACUGAUGGGCGAUGUUACUACCAAAAUGGAACAGAUGCACAUGGGUUCUACUACCAAAAGUAUUACUGUCAGGAGACUUCCAAUCUAGGAGUAAUCAUAGGUGUUUUAGUGGGAAUCGUCGUUGUCAUCGGUGUAAUUGUUGGAAUUUGCAUCUAUAGACGACGCAUACAGCGCACGGGAGAAAGUUCUUUCUUAAUUCCGAAGUAAUAAAUUAUGGAUCACAGGGAAUUGUUUUAUGAAACUUGUUUAUCCUGUUGCUUCAGAGAGGCGUGGUUUGUUAUUUAAAGCAGGAAUGCAUAUUAAGGUUCACAAAGGUGUAAUUAAUAGACACUAUAUGUGACGUCUGUAAUAUCUAAUGAUAAAACAAAUCUAUAUACCACUUAAAAGUCGCUUUUUUCGAUUGUUACGGUAAAAGAAAAUAAUUUUCUUUGUUUUUCGAGAUAAAUAAUUAUCUUUAAUUCAAUUUCUCCUCAUAACCUAUUUCAAGCUUUUGAAAGUCAAGUGGUUUCACCCAUCUAAAUAUUCAUA